GAUGAACGCUGGCGGCGUGCCUAAUAUAUGCAAGUCGAGCGAACGGACGAGAAGCUUGCUUCUCUGAUGUUAGCGGCGGACGGGUGAGUAACACGUGGAUAACCUACCUAUAAGACUGGGAUAACUUCGGGAAACCGGAGCUAAUACCGGAUAAUAUUUUGAACCGCAUGGUUCAAAAGUGAAAGACGGUCUUGCUGUCACUUAUAGAUGGAUCCGCGCUGCAUUAGCUAGUUGGUAAGGUAACGGCUUACCAAGGCAACGAUGCAUAGCCGACCUGAGAGGGUGAUCGGCCACACUGGAACUGAGACACGGUCCAGACUCCUACGGGAGGCAGCAGUAGGGAAUCUUCCGCAAUGGGCGAAAGCCUGACGGAGCAACGCCGCGUGAGUGAUGAAGGUCUUCGGAUCGUAAAACUCUGUUAUUAGGGAAGAACAUAUGUGUAAGUAACUGUGCACAUCUUGACGGUACCUAAUCAGAAAGCCACGGCUAACUACGUG
rnacentral:rRNA from 1 species